CAAACUGGGAUUAGAUACCCCACUAUUUUUAGUUGUAAAUUUAGUUUAAGCUUACCAGAGUACUACGAAUAAAAAGUUUAAAACUCAAAGAGCUUGGCGGUGUUUUAGACCUCUCAGGGGAACCUGUCUCAUAAUCGACAAUCCGCGUUAAACCUAACCUUUAAUAGCAAUUCAGCCUGUAUACCGUCGUCGUCAGGUAACUUCUUAAAAUAUAGUAGUUAGCUUGAAAAUUUUAUUAAUUAAAACGUCAGAUCAAGGUGCAGCUAAUGAAAGGGUGAGGAUGGGUUACAAUUACAUAUUUGUAAAUACGGAAAACACUUGAAAGAAUGUCUUAAAGGAGGACUUGAAAGUAAUUUUGAUUAUAUAAAUAGAAUGAAUAAGGCUCUGAAACGUGCACACACCGCCCGUCACCCUCUGCAGUCAA
rnacentral:rRNA from 1 species